UCAAAACGUUUACGGUUCCAACGGACUCUCUAUGGACGAGAAGGAGAUAGCGGCGCUUUCGUACUUACGUGCUAAUUUGUACUUGUCCAUAGUGACACCAAACGUGUUGCGUAAAAACACGGAAAAACAGAUCCUUUCCUGGGCCAAAACAAAGGUUGUAAAGUGAUAUAUUUUUAUAGCGCCACGACAACUUAUACGUGUGCGAUAUAUCGCUUGCACGCAGAUGAAUAUCAAACGCUUUUGGAUAGCUGGAGACGUUGUACAUGUAGGAAUUUUUGUGGCAAAAAAAACCAUCUGUGACUAAAUCAGUCAAAUGCGGACAGCUAGGAAACUGAAGUAUGACAACAGAAAAGACCGCCUUCAUUCAUUUCUGUUGAGGGUAACUGAUGAUAAAAGUGAAAGAAACGGAAAAAAUCCAUGAGUUCAAGACUGCUACUCGACACCUGAGAGAAAGGACUCGGUUCCCUCUGCUGUUAAAACAGCCGGAAAAUAUGCAAGGGUGUGGUCAAAGGCAUUUAAAUGUUCGAAAAAAGUAAAAAAAAAAACCUUGUCCUUCCUGGAGGAAAAUAAAAUCAAAGGAAAAUCAGCAAAUAUGAUACAGUUUAAGUCACGUGAUAAAGCACGUAUCAAACACGACAAGGCUCGGCUAAGAUGAUCUCAUGCGCCUUUCGUGCGCUUAGAUCGGCCUCAACGAGAUCGCUUAAGACUUUUGGCCUUUUUUUUUGACAGUUACACCACGGAGUUCGAUUUUGGAGAAGGUUCCACUCAAAGAGACGCUUAGAUCUCAACCUUUUUGUCAUGGACGAGUGUCUGUUAAAGGAAUGGUCCUUAGUUAUCGCCUGUGGGGGUAGGGGGUAUCAGAGGAUUUUGGUUGUUUCAGGAUAAAAUUUACCUGAUCCCUUUA